GUUAGGAAUAUUGGACAAUGGGCGCAAGCCUGAUCCAGCCAUGCCGCGUGAGUGAUGAAGGCCUUCGGGUUGUAAAGCUCUUUAGCCGAUGAUUAUAAUGACUGUAGUCGGAAAAUAAGCCCCGGCUAACUUCGUGCCAGCAGCCGCGGUAAUACGAAGGGGGCGAGCGUUAUUCGGAAUCACUGGGCGUAAAGCGUGCGUAGGCGGCUUUGCACGUUGGGAGUGAAAGCCCAGGGCUCAACCCUGGAAUUGCUCUCAAAACUGCAAGGCUCGAAUUCGGGAGAGGAUAGCGGAAUUGUCAGUGUAGCAGUGAAAUGCGUAGAUAUUGACAGGAACACCAGUGGCGUAAGCGGCUAUCUGGACCGAUAUUGACGCUGAGGCACGAAAGCGUGGGGAUCAAACAGGAUUAGAUACCCUAGUAGUCC
rnacentral:rRNA from 1 species